GCAGGCUCCAGGCCCUGAGUUGUCAGCACAGAGCCCAAUGUGGGGCUCGAAUCACAAACUAUGAGAUCAGGACCUGAGCUGAAGUUGGAGGCUCAACCAAUUGAGCCAUCCAGGAGCCCUGAGUUGAGGGAAGUUCUGAGGCAACAAAGGCUCAUGCAGGAGGGACUAAUAUAGAUGGCCUGACUUCCUCACAGAGAGCUUGCUGAAGAACUGCCACUUCUUAUCUAGGUUCAAUAUUUAUUGCUGCAGCAGACAGUUUUGACAUUGUUGUUGCUGAUUGCAUGCUCAUCACAAUCAACUGGGAUGAGUUUCUGAUUGUGGUAAUUAUAACAUUACUAAGAAAACCUUACCACACUUACAAAAUUAUCAUAUUCCAAACAUCUCAAAUUUAUGCAAUAUGUUGUUAGUAUGAGAUAAUACAGAAUUUCAAGAAAACAGUAAUACCGCUAAUAGAGAAUUAAUUGUGUAUAUUUAUAGGGUAUGCUAGAAAACAUAUUUGAUAUGAAUCCUGACUCUUUAAAUACGGUUAAACUGAAUAAGUAUAAUUGGCAUAAAAAUCAAUUGUAAUCUUUUUGAAUAUAUUUUUAGCUCACGUAUAACUGUAACAAGGGUAAGAUAAAAGAAACUCAAAAUAAAGAGAUUUUUUUCCUUAUGAUCCAAUUAGAUAAAUUUUUUUCUUUUUUUCUUUUUUUUUUUUUUUGCUUUGCAACAAGAAGGUGUCCCACUGUUAGCCAGUGGGAGCUUAAAAUCUUGGCAAUGAUAGCAUGGUGCACCAAAUAAUACUAACCUAGGAGUUUUUCCUAUCUAAGCAAGAUCAAGAGAAGAUAAAUCUUUAAGAUGGAAAAAGGAUUACUUUUUAUCAUAACCUCUCAAACUGUAAAGGUUGGGAGAGAAGGGAUAGCAGAAGACUCGUCUAUACUCCCAACAAUGAGCAUGACACAGAUGCACAAAUUUGCUAUGGGUUUGCUAUUCUCCACUGCUAUGGAGGAUAACCACGUUUGAGCCAUUAUCAAUCAACAUGGUAAACUUUGGGGGCAAGACAAUUCCAGUAAUAAGAGACUGUGCAGUGGGCUGCUAAGGCCUGGUCGUAGAGAGGCAGUUGAUGGGGCUGAUGGAGUAGUGAGCUGCAAGAGAUCAACCAGAGAGUACAUCACCCCUAUCCUGGUACUGUGCAAACUAGAAAUGCCUGUGGGAGUCUUCCAGAAAAUCUGCAUUUGAGUAACUGCCUGGUGAGGAUCCUGAUGGUGAAUUACAAUAGCACUAAUCAUUUAAGAAAUGGUUUCCCCUUUUCCCCAACUCUUCUUCCAGGUCUCAGAAAAGAAAAAGAAAUUCAAAAAUAGCUUAGACAAAUGAGACUGAAAAAGAAAAAAAAGAGAAAGAAUAAAUGAUCUCACCCUUCUGCACUGUCA